rnacentral:rRNA from 1 species
AUUGAACGCUGGCGGAAUGCUUUACACAUGCAAGUCGAACGGCAGCACGGACUUCGGUCUGGUGGCGAGUGGCGAACGGGUGAGUAACAUAUCGGAACGUAUCCAAUAAUGGGGGAUAACUAAUCGAAAGGUUGGCUAAUACCGCAUACGCCCUACGGGGGAAAGCAGGGGAUCUUCGGACCUUGCGUUAGUGGAGCGGCCGAUAUCUGGUUAGCUAGUUGGUGAGGUAAAGGCUCACCAAGGCGACGAUCAGUAGCUGGUCUGAGAGGACGACCAGCCACACUGGAACUGAGACACGGUCCAGACUCCUACGGGAGGCAGCAGUGGGGAAUUUUGGACAAUGGGCGCAAGCCUGAUCCAGCCAUUCCGCGUGAGUGAAGAAGGCCUUCGGGUUGUAAAGCUCUUUCGCAAGGGAAGAAAACUUACUUUCUAAUAAAGAGUGAGGUUGACGGUACCUUGAUAAGAAGCACCGGCUAACUACGUGCCAGCAGCCGCCGUAA